CUUGGUCAUUUAGAGGAAGUAAAAGUCGUAACAAGGUUUCCGUAGGUGAACCUGCGGAAGGAUCAUUAAAAGGUUUAUCUGGGGGUGGGUGAAACCCCCCCGGAAAACUCCACCCUUGUGUAUUAUUACUUGUUGCUUUGGUGGGCCGCGAGAUUGCCUAGCGAUUGAGUACCGGCUUCGGCUGGAGAGCGCCUGCCAGAGGACCAAACUCUGUUAUUUAUGUCGUCUGAGUACUAUUUAAUAGUUAAAACUUUCAACAACGGAUCUCUUGGUUCUGGCAUCGAUGAAGAACGCAGCGAAAUGCGAUAAGUAAUGUGAAUUGCAGAAUUCAGUGAAUCAUCGAAUCUUUGAACGCACAUUGCGCCCCUUGGUAUUCCGAGGGGCAUGCCUGUUCGAGCGUCAUUAUAACCAAUCACGCCCUGUGCGUGGACUUGGGGUUCGCGGUCUCGCGUCCCUUAAAACCAGUGGCGGUGCUGUUAGGCUCUAAGCGUAGUAAUUCUUCUCGCUACAGGGUCUUGCGGUUACUUGCCAUAACCCCAACUUUCUUAGGUUGACCUCGGAUCAGGUAGGGAUACCCGCUGAACUUAAGCAUAUCAAUAAGCGGAGGAAAAGAAACCAACAGGGAUUACCUCAGUAACGGCGAGUGAAGCGGUAACAGCUCAAAUUUGAAAUCUGGCUCUCUCAGGGUCCGAGUUGUAAUUUGUAGAAGAUGCUUUGGGUGUGGCUCCGGUCUAAGUUCCUUGGAACAGGACGUCAUAGAGGGUGAGAAUCCCGUAUGUGACUGGUGGCCUUCGCCCGUGUAAAGCUCUUUCGACGAGUCGAGUUGUUUGGGAAU
rnacentral:sRNA from 1 species